rnacentral:rRNA from 1 species
UACGGAGGGGGCUAGCGUUGUUCGGAAUUACUGGGCGUAAAGCGCACGUAGGCGGCUUUGUAAGUUAGAGGUGAAAGCCCAGAGCUCAACUCUGGAACUGCCUUUAAGACUGCAUCGCUUGAAUCAUGGAGAGGUUAGUGGAAUUCCGAGUGUAGAGGUGAAAUUCGAUAGAUAUUCGGAAGAAGCACCACGUGGCGAAGGACGACUAACUGGACAUGUAUUGACGCUGAGGUGCGAAAAGCGUGGGGAGCAAACAGG